rnacentral:rRNA from 1 species
UACAGAGGGUGCGAGCGUUAAUCGGAAUUACUGGGCGUAAAGCGUGCGUAGACGGUUAUCUAAGUCGGAUGUGAAAGCCCCGGGCUCAACCUGGGAAUUGCAUUCGAGACUGAAUAGCUAGGGUACGGUAGAGGGAAGUGGAAUUUCCGGUGUAGCGGUGAAAUGCGUAGAUAUCGGAAGGAACAUCAGUGGCGAAAGCGGGUCUCUGGACAGUUCCUGACGCUGAGGCACGAAGGUCAGGGGAGCAAACGGG